ACCUCAUGGUUAGGACAUUGCAUGAGUUUUCUGUUGAGUAUCUCCCACACUUCGUAAUAGGGUUCUCCAUUCAAUUGACUAAAGUUAUUAAUCUCAUCAUGUAGUU
rfam:Capsicum annuum cultivar Zunla-1 unplaced genomic scaffold scaffold24, whole genome shotgun sequence